UACAGAGGUCUCAAGCGUUGCCCGGAUUCAUUGGGCGUAAAGGGCGCGUAGGCGGCGCGGUAAGUCGGGUGUGAAAUCUCGGAGCUUAACUCCGAAACUGCAUUCGAUACUGCCGUGCUUGAGGACUGGAGAGGAGACUGGAAUUUACGGUGUAGCGGUGAAAUGCGUAGAUAUCGUAAGGAAGACCAGUGGCGAAGGCGGGUCUGUGGACAGUUCCUGACGCUGAGGCACGAAGGUCAGGGGAGCAAAUGGG
rnacentral:rRNA from 1 species